UACGUAGGGUGCGAGCGUUAAUCGGAAUUACUGGGCGUAAAGUGUGCGCAGGCGGCCGAGCAAGUCGAGUGUGAAAGCCCCGAGCUUAACUUGGGAACUGCGCUCGAAACUACUUGGCUAGAGUGUGGCAGAGGGAGGUGGAAUUCCACGUGUAGCGGUGAAAUGCGUAGAGAUGUGGAGGAACACCGAUGGCGAAGGCAGCCUCCUGGGCCAACACUGACGCUCAUGCACGAAAGCGUGGGGACCAAACAGG
rnacentral:rRNA from 1 species